AAAACUUUUCCAAAAGAAAAAAUCUGUUCUUAUCAGUUUAAUAUCUGAUACGUCCCCCAUCGGGGGACUACAUAUUAAAUGGAUUUUUCGAACAGGGAGUCGGAAAUGGGGCUUGCUCCGUCCGCUCCACGCAUCGACCCGGUAUUGCAGUACCUCCAGGAACGGUGCACCCCUU
ensembl:snRNA U2 U2 spliceosomal RNA